UGAAGAGGAUGCAAAUCAGUUUCCCUCCUCUCUCCAGUUCAUAAAUGCUUCUCUGAAAAGUCAAUGAAGUCCUUUCCCUCUUAUCAGAGCUAAAUUCGGUCGAUAUAUGUUUUGUUUGUUUGCCUUUUCAAUGUUGCCAUUUUUUAUGGAGGGUCACUUUCUUGGCAUGUUCGAUAAACAAACUGGUUCUCUGUGCAAUAUCAUUCCUGGUUGUUUGGAUUGGAAUAAGCGUAACCUUCAGUGCGAUCUGCCCCUCAUCAAACUGCCCGUCCUUUAAGAUGUCCCAGUCCGCUGUUGUUGAGGAAGGAGGCACAUUGGAGCACCUGUGGAGCUCUCUAGAGCCAGACAGCACCUAUUAUGAGCUGCCCCCAAGCAGCCAGCGCGGUGAGCACCCGGUUCCAUCUACCAGCACGCCAGGGAAUCACCGAAACUGUGCGGAGGUCUCCAUGGACGUCUAUCACAUCAGAGACAUGAACGAC